GAGGAAUAUUGGACAAUGGGUGGAAGCCUGAUCCAGCCAUCCCGCGUGAAGGAUGACGGCCCUAUGGGUUGUAAACUUCUUUUGUAUAGGGAUAAACCUACUCUCGUGAGAGUAGCUGAAGGUACUAUACGAAUAAGCACCGGCUAACUCCGUGCCAGCAGCCGCGGUAAUACGGAGGGUGCAAGCGUUAUCCGGAUUUAUUGGGUUUAAAGGGUCCGUAGGCGGAUCUGUAAGUCAGUGGUGAAAUCUCGCAGCUUAACUGUGAAACUGCCAUUGAUACUGCAGGUCUUGAGUGUUGUUGAAGUAGCUGGAAUAAGUAGUGUAGCGGUGAAAUGCAUAGAUAUUACUUAGAACACCAAUUGCGAAGGCAGGUUACUAAGCAACAACUGACGCUGAUGGACGAAAGCGUGGGGAGCGAAC
rnacentral:rRNA from 1 species